AUCCACAGCUUAAUGGGGAUUGUGGACCUGCUGAAAGCUCUAUGCUACAUUCCAAAGUCCACAUGACAUAUUUAUUUCUGGUGUUUCCUGGACUUCCAUUCUUCUGCACUACUCCCUGGAUGGUCUCAUGUUUUACUUUCUUAAGAAUGUGGAUUAUUGUGUGGGGCUUGGUAUACGGUGAAACAAGUAGAAGGUUUUCAAAAGCUGGUUCAUUCCCAGUUUGGAUGGAAAAUGCAACAGAGAAGUCAUGCAAAUAUCUUACAAGGAGAGAUUGUCAGGAAAAUCAAUGCUGACAGGAGAGAGUGGGGUGAAGGAAGGGGGAGGGAGUAAGGAUGCAAGUCAUAAGGUUUGAAAUAUGGCAUCUAUUCAGGUUUGCAGCAAGUUCUUGGCCUGAACACUCUUCUAGUUCUAGAACAUGUUCUUAUUGCGAUGCCAAUUGUUGGUGUCAGGGUUCAUACUUAUAUAAAUAAGUAGUCCAAGCAUUAGGAUGCAAUUUAUCAACAUUCUCUACACAAGACUGUCACUGGGGGCGGAUUUCAUAGUAACUGAGGUUGGUUUGGGGAUAAUGCUUUUACUCUACUACUAUUCCCUCCCUUCAGCCUGUGUUUAUGAUCUGGUUCCCACCAGAACAGCUUCCUCUGUAAGCUAUCAUGGUCUAGAAUAUUCUUUUCUAUGUCUUUAUUCCACCUAAUAAAAUUUGUAUUUGAUUUUCUUGGGACUCUUACCUAGGCUGGAGUUAAUCUGAAACACGAAUGUCUUCUGAGUUGUUUAGUAACAAAUGAUAACUUCUGUCUUGCCCAUCUAAGAUUAUAAUUUUGAAUUUUAAGAUCUGUCAAAGUUUGGGCUGAUGAAGCUGUAGCUCAGCGGAAUAGCAUUUGCCUAGCUU